rnacentral:lncRNA from 1 species
CACGCACUCGAAGAGGUUCUGAAUAAAUGGUCCAGAUGCCAGCCCCAGCUAAGCACCCAGCGGACAGCCAGCAUCAGCCAUCAUACGUGUGAGCGAGGAAGCCUUGAAGGUGACUCCAGCCCCAGCCACAUGUGAGUGCAACCCCAGUGAGAACUGUCUCGCUGGCCCCAGUCAACCCCCAAGACUGUGAGAGAUCCUGAGAAAAAUCAGUCAAGAAACUGGGAAAAUGGAAAAAGUAUUAUAAUUUUGCGAUGAUUAAAGCUGAACACUCAACACAGAGAUGUUACCGUUUUGAAAGAAUCCACUGAUACCAAGGGCAGGAAACCUGGAUAUGGGAAUCGAAAGUUAAGCAGAGGAAAAUUGAGACCAGAAAGAUGACGUGAGUCGCUCUAGCCUCGACACUAAUGAGCUCCAGACCUGGGCCAGACUGAGCCCCUCUCCACUUGGUACACUAAGCAUCAUUUAACUUUGUUGUAAUUAUAAACAACAUGGAACAGUGAAACUCUCCAGCCAUCGAAUUCUACACUGAAAAGAAGAGAGCACCUGACAUGGCAGUGAAGAGCUGAGAUUUAGAAGGGGAACAUGUGUGUGUGAUCCUGGUUCUGCCUCGCACAACCUGUGGGACAGUUGACUUCACUUCUUGACGUCUCAGCGUGUUCCUCGUUUCAGAUCUGAGGCCCCUUUCAGUUAUCUGAGCCUUAGUUCCUGCCAGGACCGUGGGGAAAAAAGUGGAUUUGGUCUGCCUGG